AAAAUUGGACAAUGGGGGCAACCCCGAUCAAGCCAUGCGGCGGGUGUGAAGAAGGUCUUCGGAUUGUAAAGAACUUUAAGUUGGGAGGAAGGGAUUUAGGGUAAUACCCUUAAGUUUUGACGUUACCAACAGAAUAAGCACCGGCUAACUCUGUGCCAGCAGCCGCGGUAAUACAGAGGGUGCAAGCGUUAAUCGGAAUUACUGGGCGUAAAGCGCGCGUAGGUGGUUCAGUAAGAUGGGUGUGAAAUCCCCGGGCUUAACCUGGGAACUGCUUUCAUAACUGCUGAGCUAGAGUACGGUAGAGGGUAGUGGAAUUUCCUGUGUAGCGGUGAAAUGCGUAGAUAUAGGAAGGAACACCAGUGGCGAAGGCGACUACCUGGACUGAUACUGACACUGAGGUGCGAAAGCGUGGGGAGCAAACA
rnacentral:rRNA from 1 species